rnacentral:lncRNA from 1 species
UGUACAUUGGUAUCAUCAUGCUCAUUUUGUUGUGUGUUUCCAUUUUCAUCGUUGCUUGUUGUCUCGUUUAAUUCCUUAAAGAAGUCAUAUAAGAUUUGUAUAGGUAUAUUUGGUUGUUUUUGUUUUUGUUUAUGUUCACCAUUCAGUAAUUUCCAAUAUUCCUUUGGGUUUUUUGUUUUCAUAUUUUUCAUUUUAUUUCUCAUUUCGAUCCUAUAUUUUUUAAUACAUUUG